UUAUGCGAUAGCUGUGUGAAUUGCAGAAUUCAGUGGAUCAUCGAAUCUUUGAACGCACAUUGCGCCCCUUGGUAUUCCGGGGGGCAUGCCUGUUCGAGCGUCAUUACAACCCUCAAGCUCUGCUUGGAAUUGGGCACCGUCCUCACUGCGGACGCGCCUCAAAGACCUCGGCGGUGGCUGUUCAGCCCUCAAGCGUAGUAGAAUACACCUCGCUUUGGAGCGGUUGGCGUCGCCCGCCGGACGAACCUUCUGAACUUUUCUCAAGGUUGACCUCGGAUCAGGUAGGGAUACCCGUUGAACUUAAGCAUAUCAAUAAGCGGAGGAA
rnacentral:rRNA from 1 species